rnacentral:misc_RNA from 1 species
AGUGUCUUGUUUCGCAUGUCUGAUGCAAUGUGCGAUGCGAUGGAACAGCGAGACGCCAUAGACAAUAGUGAAGACAUCGAUUUUCUUAAAAAUGUUAUACACCAGUUGAGGCAAGAGUUGGAAGAGUCUAGGCAAGAUGUUCAGAGAGUAGAGCACGAUUUUGAAGACUUCCAAGAAAACUCGCGCCAAUUGGAGAAGGAACUGGAGACUGCACUUGACCAGUCGGAGAAAACAAACAGGGAACGAGAAGCACUUUGUAAUAGAUGGCAAAUAGAAAAUGAAAGGCUACGUGAUCGAAUAGAUCAGUUACAGAGGCAAUGUGAUUCCAAGGAUACACAACUCUCAAAAUUGGAAGCACACAAGCAAGAGCUGAUGAAGAGGACAAGAGAACUGGAACAAAGGAAUGAUGAUCUUGAAAGAGCUUUGAGGGCAAUGAGCAUGUCAAAGGGAGAGACUGAACUCAAAUUAAAUGCCCAGAUAGAGAGAGAUGCCCUCUUGGAGUGUGAACACGAAGAACUUCUAGCAAUGGUCCAGAGGUUGAAAGAUGAAAAAAGAGAUCUGACACAUGAACUGAAAGCAAGGGAACGCAUUGGCCCUGUUUUCGACAAUGACAAGUCUGUUUUCCCGGGCUCUCCACUAGAUUCCAAUCGGUUAAAAGUGGAGAUGCAGACACAAACCACUGCAGUUCAAGGUUCCCCACUCAAAAUGGCUCAGACCGUUGGAAAUCAAACAACCGUAACACCACUCGCACCUUCCAAUAGGAUUCUUGGAAUGAACAUGGUCCAUGACCUGCUUCGCAAUAUUGGCCUUGAGAAAUGGUUGUGCUCAGACUGUGACAAGCUCAGAUGUGUGUGUAGCCGACGUACCUCACCAUGCUCACUCCAGCGGCGGUAGUUUAGUCUAUUGAAUCAAAAUUAACAGCUUCUCGCAAUAUUGCCAGAGACAACAUACAUCUCAGUGAUGCAACAAACCGAGAGCCUUACAGAGGGAGGCGCAUAGGACGAACUGCUACACCGGCAUCACCA